UGACAACAUUAAGUGUAACAGGGACAGUGAGACACACACACACACACACACACACACACACACACACACACACACGAAUAGUGAUAAAGCCUUACAGAACAUACAUAAAACAUGAAUAAAGAAAGAAAGGAAUAAACAAGCAAAGAAGAAAAUUAAUUGAAAAAAAAGUUAUACAUGCAAUACAGAUGCGAAAGUUUUUUAAACGUUUCAGACGUCAGAACUACGUCAUUUCGUGCAACGCAGAUAACUGUGACGUUCUACACACGUCUGCUCCGUCACUAUGGCUGCAAGAGACGCGAGGCGGUAAAAGCUUGCUUUAAUACGAUUAGUAUAUCCAUAAUAACUCUUAUCAACCGUUCUUUUGUCUAAUAACAGAAACGACGUAUGUCAUUUUCAUAUUUGGAUACAUUUAGUUCAGUAUUUGCUCUGAAACGAUGAAGAUUAACAGGAGAACCCAUCAGCUGCUUUCAUUAUGAAACUAGUUACAUCUCUAGUUUAUAAAGUACACAACCGGCGCUCUUUCAAAAAAUGUCGAAAAUGUACCACAAAGAGAAAAGCAUUCAGAUAAAGAGCAGCGCGUCGGCCCUCUACAACAACCUGAGCGUCCUGCGCAUCGCGCCGCGAUGCCUCACCUAUUUCACAGUGGUCCACGCCAACGUGGUGAACAUGGUCAGCGCCUCCUGGGACGGGCUGAACUAUUCCCACCGACAGCUGCAGUCUAAAGAGGGCAACGUGGCCACCAGCUCCUCACUUAUAAUGCAGGCAGCCUGGUGUGUCCUGCCUUCAAGAGAUCUUCUUGUUCUCACCUCUCAGAAGGGGAUCCAGAUGUAUGAAUCAGAUGGUUCAAUUAUGGUCUAUUGGCAUGCACUGGACACGCCAGAGACCCCUACUGCGAAAGCAGUUUUUGCCCGAGGAAUUGCUGCAGUGCAGGAAAAAUAUAUUUGUGUAGGGGUCUCAUCUGGCUCAGUGCUGGUGUUUGACGUUCCCAGUAAAGGCAGUAACAUCACCCUGUCUGAGGUUUUGGAGGAACAUAAAGAGGCAAUCACAGACAUGGCCUCUGAGUGCUCAGGCAAUCCGGAGUGCAUUGCUGAUUUAGUUAGUGCUGAUGACUCUGGCCUCCUCUGUGUGUGGAAAUCAGGAGAAGAUUUUCAACUGCUCAACAAGAUCCCAGGAUUUGACACAAGUUGUUCUUCAGUAAAACUCUGGAAGGGCAUUGUCAUUGCUGGCUAUGGGACGGGACAGAUUCGUCUGUAUGAGGGGGUCACAGGUAUACUACAUGCAGAAGUCAAUGCCCAUGCACGCUGGAUCUACUCACUGGACAUCGCCCCGUUCACUGGACUGCUGAUAUCUGCAGCAGAAGACUCCUGGGUUCGAGUAUGGCAUCUGAGCUUGACUCCAGAGACGAAUAGUGUAGAGAUCGAGCACAUGUACAAUGAGUGUGUGACUGAUACACAGAUCUGUGGAGCCAAGUUCUGUGAUGGGGACGGCUAUGCCUUUGCAGUGACCGGCUAUGACUUGAGUGAGAUCAUCCGCUACACACAAGCCUAGUCAGGAAUAGAGCGUGCACUUCUAGGACAUUCCCAUUGGUCAUGUGAGGAUCACCUGCAGAAGGAAGGUCAUGUCUUGACAGUGUAUUGCAAUAGCCAAACCCAGCCACCCGGCUUUGAUGUUCAGCAAACAAAAGCUGCCCGACGCAUCCCAUUAUCGUGAAUGAUUAAUUUGGAGAUGUCUGGAUGGAACACGCAGCACUUGCUCCCCCUCUCAAGACUUUCCAAAAUCUAUCUGUCUUAGCGUUGAGCCUGCUGGGAAAGCUUCGCCACACAGGGAUUGACAAAGUAAUGCCUCACCAGUCUGGAGCUGAGGAAAAAACAGACGCAAGGAGGAAAUUAGGAAAAAGUGUCUCCUGUAAAUAGUUCAUAUAAAUAGACUGGAAUCAGCAGGAGGGGGAAGUGGGAUCAGAAACACAGACAAAUGCUGGACGAGGAGAUUGGCUGGAGACGAGGAGGGAUAGAAAGCGGAGUGAAAAAGAGGUUGACUUCAUGCUGAUGAUUCAUCUGGUCAUCUCCAGAGUGAGACAUGUGCACACUCCACCCGCUCCAACAGCUGCUCCCGGGCCCCGUCUCCUCUGCUGUGUCCUGUGAGAACAGGAAAUGAAGAGUGAGCUGUUUUAAACAUUGGCCGGUCCUACUCUUGCCCAUGGGGCACUGCAACAAAACAAAACAUUUUUCUCUGUAUUUUGUUCUCAUGUUUUUACAAACAAAACAUGCAGCAAGAAAAAAUUGAAAAUCUGAAAAAGAUAACUAUGUUGUGACAUGAACUCUCAAGUCAGUUUCACUAUAAUCUCAUGAAUUUGUUAUUAACUGACUCUCUCUCUCUCUCUCUCUCUCUCUCUCUCUCUCAAUGGGGGUGUUAUACUCUUUCCAGUGUUGGGAGUAACGCAUUACAAAAGUAAUGCAUUACAGUAACAUUUAUUUUUGCUGUAACGCAGUAGUGUAAGGCAUUAAUAAUCGAAUUUUCAGUAAUAUUCAGUUCCUGUUGGUGUCGUCAAUCUGGUAACCUGCAUGUGCGUCAAGUCUGAGGAGGACGGGCAGGGUGAAAAUAACCCUCUCCGAUAUUUUGAAUUUGGGCUGCAGUACAUAGUUAAACCACUCGGUGUCAAUCCUACAUACAGCACCUUUAAAGGGACACUAAGUAGGAAUUACUCCCAUCUAGUGGUGAAAUUCAAACUAAUUUUGCUCUCCAGCGCCUCGCUUUUUCAAAUGCGCGUUGCAUCUACGGUAGGCGAUAUGUACCAAAAAGCUUUGACGGGAUGUCUUCUAAUAGCACUUCAUCGAGUUUUCCUUCAGGUGAACAGGUGUGUUAUUUCAAACAAACAGCAACAUGACCAUAAACAAACGAAUGUUACAGUAUGAAUUACUGACUGUGGAAAACAUGAAAUAUUGUAAUUAGUAGUUAUGUCUUCUUUAUUCGUUAUAUUUUCUGAAUAAUGUGCAUUGUUAGAUAUAAAAAAAAUAUUGUAAUAUAGAUUGUAACACUGACUUACCUGUCGAGAAGAAAACUGGCUUCAGCGUCUCUUUUGAAAUCUUUAUCCAGCAUUAGCUCUUUCCACCUAGAAAAAGCUUCCCCGACAUUAACUCUUGUUUUCUGUAAUCUACGGUCACGUUUCCUUUUACGUUCUAUUUUUGACUGUUUUGGCGACGAUGUUUUCUUCUCCUGUGGCGCGCCAUAUGUAUGGUCCAUAAUAAGAAUGCAAUCCAGACUUUUAAACUUGCCGGUGCAGUUUCAAGCGCCUCUCACUGCUCUGCACCUGCGUUUCUGGCUCUGACCGAAAACGCGCUGUGGAAACGCGUUGGCUUAGUACUUUUUGUCCCUCUCUGCUAUUAUAGUUUUGCAAGAUGGCGGAACUACAUGGAAGCCUCCGUCGACCUACCCGUCCCAUGUAUAUAAAGAUAAUAAAUUCUUCAUUUACGAGGAUUAGUUUAAACAUUGGCAUAGGUAUUUGUACACCAUUGAGGGCAUAUUUAUGAAUAAAAAAAUUGAUUUUAGAUAAUAAAAUACUUAUUGUCCCUUUAAGUUCAACUUCUGUAGUUUUUUUGGUUAAUAUUAUUAUUAUUAUUUUUAUUUUUACAGUACUUAGAAUUUAGAAUCACCUAAUCUACAUAGCCUACUAUGUUACUUGCACUAGCCUACUGUUUAUGCGCAAUGGGUAGGAUGGAUUAGGGUUGUGGAGUAGAUGCAUAUUAUGUGUACGUGAAAACUACAUAUCAUAUGCACUCCAACAAAUUUCGUUUCAUAAGCAUUUGGAAACUGUUUAUUAUGUGCAGGUCAAACCUGUGCGUAUCAUAUGCAAGCAACAUGCCAAAGUCAUUUUUUGCUUAUCAAUACCACAGUUUUCUGUUUUUAUUUGGCAUAUUUAUAUGCAUUUUCAUGAGACCGGGCUCACUUGCCUGAGAAGUGAAGGUGCAUCGCAAUAAAUUAGAAUGUAGUGGAAAAAUUCAUUUAUUUCAGACAUUCCCAGAAUUCUCUGCAUUGCAUUUCAAGUUUUGUUUGAAUUAGAUGUUUUUUCUUUGAAAUAACUAUGUUUCUUCUUAUUUUUUUCCUUUCCUAUUAUGUUUAUUAGGGUUGUAUGUUACAUAUAAUGUUGUUAAAUUAAUGUUUAUUGCAUAUUUCAAUUUAAUGAGUCUCACCAUGAUGGUGUUUAGUGCUUGUGUGAAUCACACUGUGAAUCUUUUAUAUAUGAUAUUAUUUUUAUUUAAAAGCUGCUUGUGAUGGGCUAUUGUUUAUCACUUGACUUUCUCAUCACCACCUGCUUUUGGUGGUUAUCAGUGUAUUACAAAGGUACAAAACAGAUUUCAGUACUUCAAUAGGUUGGUAUAUUAACAUCAUAUCAGUUAAUGAAAAUACGGUAUUUAACUGUAAAUUUAAGGUAAAACCUAAAACAUUGUUAACGUAUUUGUUAUGGUAGAAUUCUGGCAACAACAGCUGCCGUUUUUUACUGUAAAUUUUAAGGAUUUUUUAUUUACAGUGGUGGCAUUUCAUUUAUUGAAUACAUUUCGGACGGAUUUUGUUUGAAAUGACACAGUGUCCACUGAUGUAUUGCAAAACUUAAAAAGGUAAUUGUGUAUAAAAAUGUGUUUAUUGUCAACAGUCUGAAUUUGCACCUAUUCAAUUCAAUUCAAGUU